CCUACGGGGGGCUGCAGUCGAGAAUCAUUCACAAUGGGGGAAACCCUGAUGGUGCGACGCCGCGUGGGGGAAUGAAGGUCUUCGGAUUGUAAACCCCUGUCAUGUGGGAGCAAAUUAAAAAGAUAGUACCACAAGAGUAAGAGACGGCUAACUCUGUGCCAGCAGCCGCGGUAAUACAGCGGUCUCAAGCGUUGUUCGGAAUCACUGGGCGUAAAGGGUGCGUAGGCUGUUUCGUAAGUCGUGUGUGAAAGGCGCGGGCUCAACCCGCGGACGGCACAUGAUACUGCGAGACUAGAGUAAUGGAGGGGGAACCGGAAUUCUCGGUGUAGCAGUGAAAUGCGUAGAUAUCGAGAGGAACACUCGUGGCGAAGGCGGGUUCCUGGACAUUAACUGACGCUGAGGCACGAAGGCCAGGGGAGCGAAAGGGAUUAGAUACCCUAGUAGUC
rnacentral:rRNA from 1 species